AGACGGGGGGGGCGAGCGUUGUUCGGAAUUACUGGGCGUAAAGGGCGCGCAGGCGGCUUGGGAAGUCUUGGGUGAAAGCCCCCAGCUCAACUGGGGAAUGGCCUGAGAAACCACUAGGCUGGAGUGCUGGAGAGGGAAGCGGAGUUCCCGGUGGAGCGGUGAAAUGCGUAGAUAUCGGGAGGAACACCAGAGGCGAAGGCGGCUUACUGGACAGACACUGACGCUGAGGCGCGAAAGCUAGGGGAGCAAACGGGAUUAGAAACCCCAGUAGUCC
rnacentral:rRNA from 1 species